rnacentral:misc_RNA from 1 species
UGAGAAUUAUUUCAAAGAAAGUUUCUUGCUUUAUUUUUCCUAUUAUUUAUUAAUAUAAAGAGUUUGAUACAGCUAAUCUAUUAGACGAGUAAUUAUCUAGAUUAUAAUAUCAGCUCUUAUUUAUGAGAUUCAUUAUGAAUGUCAUUUUUAUUAGUUCAUUGACAUAUUGAGAAAAAUUAAAUUUUAACAAUUAUUAGAAUCAAUUUUAAGGCACAAUUAGUUUUUUACUAAUUGA